rnacentral:rRNA from 1 species
UACAGAGGUCUCAAGCGUUGUUCGGAUUCAUUGGGCGUAAAGGGUGCGUAGGCGGCGCGGUAAGUCGGGUGUGAAAUCUUGGAGCCUAACUCCGAAACUGCAUUCGAUACUGCCGUGCUUGAGGACUGGAGAGGAGACUGGAAUUUACGGUGUAGCGGUGAAAUGCGUAGAUAUCAGGAGGAACACCGGCGGUGUAGACGGCUUUCUGGACCGUAGCUGACGCUGAGACACGAAAGCGUGGGUAGCAAACAGG